CGAUUUCACUCAUUCCUUUAAAGAAUGGCCGUGUCGGAAUGGAGGAUGUAUUUUCCAAUGUAAGCAGUCCCGUGUGGAUUUCUCUGCGAGCUAGCUGUGACUAUAAGAUCCGAGAGAGGACGAUAGCCCGGAAUAUGUAAGUACUCUUAUUCGGGAAUUCGAUAUCGUUCCAGCUCCAGCAGCAGCAGUAAUCCGUCCAAGAGAAAUCACUAUUGAUUAAGACUCUGCCGCCUGUAGACCUGCAAACACCGCGUCAGUGUAAUUGUUUCUGUAAUAAUCGUCACCUUUGCAUGGUAGACUUUGAUCAGCCUCAUCAAGAUCAAGUUGAAGUGAAUGACCCACUCGAAGAACUGUUGGAUGGCGAAGACUCUGAAGAAAGUGACGAUAAGGAAGAAAAUAAUGUUCAGCAAAAUGAAGAGGAACCAGAUCAAGAACACACACAGCAAACGGUGGAAUAUUUUCCAAUUGUUGGCUCAAAUUGGGAAAUGUGCUAUCAAGAAGGACUGCAGAAAUGCUAUGAUCUCCAAGUUAAAAAGCAGAAGGUGGAAUUGAGAGUGGAACACGAACCUGAGAACAUUUGCGAUUGCAAUGGACUCAAAUUUGAGGUACUAUCAGGUGGUCAGUGGUAUAUUUUAGGAUACUGUGGGAAAAAGAAGAUUCCCUAAUUAAAAAGAGCAAUUUGUUAUCAUUAAGCCGUGUCCUUAGAAAUGUAUAAUUUGCACAGGAUUUGGUAUCCUUUAAUAUCUGAUUUCAGAUUUACUGCAGGGAUCAAUAUUGUAAAAAUGGGUAGAUGGGACCAUAAGAAUAGAUACAAUUCUCACAUUGCCAUGUAAGAAGAGAUAAUGCCAACCAGUAUGAAGUUCUUACAUGACCAUGGAAGAAAAAUCUAUUGCUAGUGACCGUCCAAGUUACCAAUAGAGCACAAAAAUUCCUUGUGUGCUACACUGUAUAUAAUUAAAAAAAAACAGAGCUGCUUAUGCUGAGGUGUUUUGUUGAAAAAUACAAUUUUUUCUUAAAAAGACAUUGAAGUGUUCAGUUUUGCAAGCUUAGAUGUACAUGCACAGCUGACACCUUUUCUUAAAGUUAACAUCUAAGGGAUGGCAUUGCAAUGUGGUAGUAUUUGAAACAAAUUAUGUCAAGUGUUGUCAUUGGACAUAUGGUCUUGCUGUUGUCCAAUAAGUUGUCUGUACAAUAAUGUGAAUAAAAGCCUUAAGUUUGAA